UCCGUAGGUGGAUAAUUAAGUCAGAGGUGAAAUCCUGCAGCUCAACUGUAGAAUUGCCUUUGAAACUGGUUAUCUUGAGUUAUUAUGAAGUAGUUAGAAUAUGUAGUGUAGCGGUGAAAUGCAUAGAUAUUACAUAGAAUACCAAUUGCGAAGGCAGAUUACUAAUAAUAUACUGACACUGAUGGACGAAAGCGUGGGGAGCGAACAGGAUUAGAUACCCGGUAGUCC
rnacentral:rRNA from 1 species